rnacentral:rRNA from 1 species
CGGAGGAAAAGAAACCAACCGGGAUUGCCUCAGUAACGGCGAGUGAAGCGGCAAAAGCUCAAAUUUGAAAUCCUUCGGGAGUUGUAAUUUGUAGAGGGGUGUCUUUGGGGCGGCAUUGUCUAUGUUCCUUGGAACAGGACGUCACAGAGGGUGAGAAUCCCGUGCGAUGAUGCCUCAACCAGUACAAGACCCUCUCGACGAGUCGAGUUGUUUGGGAAUGCAGCUCUAAGUGGGUGGUAAAUUCCAUCUAAAGCUAAAUACUGGCGAGAGACCGAUAGCGAACAAGUACAGUGAUGGAAAGAUGAAAAGCACUUUGAAAAGAGAGUGAAACAGUACGUGAAAUUGUUGAAAGGGAAGGGUAGGAGGUGAGGGGAAGAGCUGCUUAGGCGCGGGAGAUAAACAAGCAGGAAGCGCUUCGGUGCGGCCUGGUAAAUAUCCCGUGCUUGUGUGGUUCU